GUGGGGAAUCUUGCGCAAUGGGCGAAAGCCUGACGCAGCCAUGCCGCGUGAAUGAUGAAGGUCUUAGGAUUGUAAAAUUCUUUCACCGGGGACGAUAAUGACGGUACCCGGAGAAGAAGCUCCGGCUAACUUCGUGCCAGCAGCCGCGGUAAUACGAAGGGGGCUAGCGUUGCUCGGAAUUACUGGGCGUAAAGGGCGCGUAGGCGGACAGCUUAGUCAGAGGUGAAAGCCCAGGGCUCAACCUUGGAAUUGCCUUUGAUACUGGCUGUCUUGAGUUUGGGAGAGGUGAGUGGAACUGCGAGUGUAGCGGUGAAAUUCGUAGAUAUUCGGAAGAACACCAGUGGCGAAGGCGACUCACUGGCCCAAUACUGACGCUGAGGCGCGAAAGCGUGGGGAGCAAACAGGAUUAGAAACCCCAGUAGUCC
rnacentral:rRNA from 1 species